CCCUACGGGNGUCAGCAGGCGCGAAAACUUUACAAUGCGAGAAAUCGUGAUAAGGGAACCCCGAGUGCCCGUAAAUUCGCGGCUGUUAAUCUGUGUAAAAAGCAGGAUGGAGAAAGGGCCGGGCAAGACCGGUGCCAGCCGCCGCGGUAAUACCGGCGGCUCGAGUGGUGGCCACUAUUACUGGGCUUAAAGCGUCCGUAACUGGAUUGUUAAAUCUCUUGAGAAAUCUACCGGCUUAACCGAUAGGCGUUCAAGGGAUACUGGCAAUCUAGGGACCGGAAGAGGUGAGAGGUACUCCAGGGGUAGGAGUGAAAUCCUGUAAU
rnacentral:rRNA from 1 species